UCUUCUAGCUACCACCGCCGUCACAAAAAGCGAGAAAAUGGGCGAAGGGGAUAGGGAGCGAUAGGGCCAAGAACCACGAGUCCAAGACCAAUCGUAAACGAGUAGCAAAUCAACUGCAAGAUAUUUUCACUUUGAUAACAAGUGAAAUGCAACGACCAAAGGGGUGCAAACUGCAAAGCGAGCAGCUGGAGGCCGAUGCACUUGAUAUUUUCAAGCCGAGCGGACUUCCGGCAAUUAAGCUGCCAUCCAUAAGACGUGGAUACGUUAACUAACGAUUCGUAACCAAAUUGCAGCUAUGGUCGUGGAUCGAACAAAGAGGAAAUACAAUAGGAAAACUGA